GCUUUCGGCAAUACCAACCUGGCUAUGCCCGAUCUCGUCUGAUCUCGGAGGCUAAGCAGGUUUGGGCCUGGUUAGUACUUGGAUGGGAGACAGCCUGGGAAUACCAGGUGCUUUAAGCU
ensembl:rRNA 5S_rRNA 5S ribosomal RNA